rnacentral:rRNA from 1 species
UACGUAGGGUGCGAGCGUUAUUCGGAAUUACUGGGCGUAAAGCGUGCGCAGGCGGCGCUGCAAGUCGAGGGUGAAAUCCCCGAGCUUAACUUGGGAAUUGCGCUCGAAACUACGGUGCUGGAGUGUGGGAGAGGGAUGCGGAAUUCCAGGUGUAGCGGUGAAAUGCGUAGAUAUCUGGAGGAACACCGGUGGCGAAGGCGGCAUCCUGGACCACGACUGACGCUGAGUGAGCGAAAGCCAGGGGAGCAAACGGG